rnacentral:rRNA from 1 species
UACGUAGGGGGCGAGCGUUGUCGGAGUACUGGGCGUAAAGCGCACGCAGGCGGUGCUGCGCGUUUGGGGUUACAGCUCCCGGCUCAACCGGGAGAGCGCCUCGAAGACGGCAGCACUUGAGGGCCAGAGAGGGACACGGAACUCCGGGUGGAGUGGUGUAAUGCGUAGAUAUCCGGAAGAACACCAAAGGCGAAGGCAGUGUCCUGGCUGG